GAUGAACGCUGGCGGCGUGCUUAACACAUGCAAGUCGAACGGAAAGGCCCAAGCUUGCUUGGGUACUCGAGUGGCGAACGGGUGAGUAACACGUGGGUGAUCUGCCCUGCACUUCGGGAUAAGCCUGGGAAACUGGGUCUAAUACCGGAUAGGACGAUGGUUUGGAUGCCAUUGUGGAAAGUUUUUUCGGUGUGGGAUGAGCUCGCGGCCUAUCAGCUUGUUGGUGGGGUAAUGGCCUACCAAGGCGUCGACGGGUAGCCGGCCUGAGAGGGUGUACGGCCACAUUGGACCUGGGAUCCGGCCCAGACUCCUCCGGGAGGCAGCAGUGGGGAAUAUUGCACAAUGGGCGAAAGCCUGAGGCAGCGACGCCGCGUGGGGGAUGACGGCCUUCGGGUUGUAAACUCCUUUCGCUAGGGACGAAGCGUUUUUGUGACGGUACCUGGAGAAGAAGCACCGGCUAACUACGUG
rnacentral:rRNA from 1 species